UGAAUACGAGAUGCUACGGCGUCGAAGCAGUCUAUGUCAUACUUCCAAGAAAAGCUUGCACUGUCAUAAACAAAUAAUGCCUGUACCAUAACCGACACAGGUGGGUAGGUAGAGUAUACUAAGGGGCGCGAGAUAACUCUCUCUAAGGAACUCGGCAAAAUGACUCCGUAACUUCGGGAGAAGGAGUGCCUUAUUUAUAAGGUUGCAAUAACAAGAUCCAAGCAACUGUUUACCAAAAACACAGGUCUCCGCUAAGUCGUAAGACGAUGUAUGGGGGCUGACGCCUGCCCAGUGCCAGAAGGUUAAAGAAGUUGGUUAGCAUCCGCGAGGCUGAUAACUGAAGCCCUGGUGAACGGCGGCCGUAACGAUAACGGUCCUAAGGUAGCGAAAUUCCUUGUCGGGUAAGUUCCGACCCGCACGAAAGGCGUAAUGAUUUGGAUACUGUCUCGGAGAGGGGCUCGGUAAAAUAGACUUGUCUGUGAAGAUGCGGACUACCUGCACCAGGACAGAAAGACCCUAUGAAGCUUUACUGUAACCUGAAAUUGAAAUUGGACUUUACUUGCGCAGUAUAGGUGGGAGGCGUUGAGAAUAUUCUUGCGGGAUUAUUGGAGCCAUCAGUGAGAUACCACUCUUGUAAUGUUAGAUUUCUAACUUUGUAUCAUUAUCUGGUCAAAGAACAGUUUCAGGCGGGCAGUUUGACUGGGGCGGUCGCCUCCUAAACGGUAACGGAGGCGCACAAAGGUUUCCUCUGAACGGGUAGAAAUCGUAUCUAGAGUGUAAAGGCAUAAGGAAGCUUGACUGUGAGACCUACAAGUCGAGCAGGGACGAAAGUCGGUCUUAGUGAUCUGACGGUGCUGAGUGGAAAGGCCGUCACUCAACGGAUAAAAGUUACUCUAGGAUAACAGGCUGAUCUCCCCCAAGAGUUCACAUCGACGGGGAGGUUUGGCACCUCGAUGUCGGCUCAUCGCAUCCUGGGGCGGUAGUACGUCCCAAGGGUUGGGCUGUUCGCCCAUGAAAGCGGUACGCGAGCUGGGUUCAGAACGUCGUGAGACAGUUCGGUCCAUAUCCGGUGUAGGCGUUAGAAUAUUGAGAGGAGCCUUCUUUAGUACGAGAGGACCGAGAAGGACAUACCUCUGGUGUACCAGUUAUCGUGCCAACGGUAAACGCUGGGUAGCUAUGUGUGGAGUGGAUAACCGCUGAAAGCAUCUAAGUGGGAAGCCCACCUCAAGAUAAG
rnacentral:rRNA from 1 species